GAUGAACGCUGGCGGCGUGCCUAAUACAUGCAAGUCGAGCGAACAGAUAAGGAGCUUGCUCCUUUGACGUUAGCGGCGGACGGGUGAGUAACACGUGGGUAACCUACCUAUAAGACUGGGAUAACUCCGGGAAACCGGGGCUAAUGCCGGAUAAUAUGUUGAACCGCAUGGUUCUAUAGUGAAAGGCGGCUUUGCUGUCACUUAUAGAUGGAUCCGCGCCGCAUUAGCUAGUUGGUAAGGUAACGGCUCACCAAGGCAACGAUGCGUAGCCGACCUGAGAGGGUGAUCGGCCACACUGGAACUGAGACACGGUCCAGACUCCUACGGGAGGCAGCAGUAGGGAAUCUUCCGCAAUGGGCGAAAGCCUGACGGAGCAACGCCGCGUGAGUGAUGAAGGUCUUCGGAUCGUAAAACUCUGUUAUUAGGGAAGAACAAAUGCGUAAGUAACUAUGCGCGUCUUGACGGUACCUAAUCAGAAAGCCACGGCUAACUACGUG
rnacentral:rRNA from 1 species